CCUACUGGAGGCAGCAGUGGGGAAUAUUGCGCAAUGGACGAAAGUCUGACGCAUCGACACCGCUGGAGGUCUUCCUUUUUUCUUCUCUUCCACCUCUUUCAGGAGUGAAGAAAGCGCAUGGCGCCAAUCAGCCAUGCGUUGACGGUACCUCCAAAGGAAGCGCCGGCUAACUCCGUGCCAGCAGCCGCGGUAAUACGGAGGGCGCGAGCGUUAAUCGGAAUUACUGGGCGUAAAGCGCGCGUAGGCUGUUGUGUAAGUUGGGGGUGAAAUCCGACGGCUCAACCGUGGAACAGCCCUUGAUACUGCGCGACUUGAAUCCGGGAGAGGGUGGCGGAAGUCCAGGUGUAGGAGUGAAAUCCGUAGAUAUCUGGAGGAACAUCAGUGGCGAAGGCGGCCACCUGGACCGGUAUUGACGCUGAGGCGCGAAAGCGUGGGGAGCAAACAGGAUUAGAUACCCCUGUAGUC
rnacentral:rRNA from 1 species